UAAACGCUCUGGAGCCACAUUGUUUGUAUUAUUAUUGAACAAUGUGUUUCAGAGUGUAGU
rnacentral:pre_miRNA from 1 species